rnacentral:lncRNA from 1 species
AUAUGAAUAAAACCGAGCAUUUGCUCAUGCUCAACCUGGUUUAAGUAAAGUAAAGUCUUUGAGCAUUUACUCAAAACCGUAUGAAUAAAACUAUACUUUACUCAGAGUAAGUUCGAAAUUCGAACAUAGCUUUUACUCUGUCAAAAAUGUUGUUUUUGUUUUGGUUAUCCGAUUUCGCAAAAAAUCCAGUAGUGCUUUGGCGGAUGUUUUGCCAUGCUAGGGAAAAAGUGUGAGUUGCUUGAUUUGCUGCCGCUUGCUGAUGCACACCCCGGCGGAACAUAUUUAUUAGCAUCACGCCUACCGGGGAAGCGUCGGUGAACGCAGAAAAAUCGCCUAACGGGGAAGCGUCGGUGAACGCAGGACACUAGUACACCAACAAGGACUACAAAUUGGUGCGUGGAGAACACCCAACCGGUCCGCUCGCUACGCUCUCAGUGGAGAACAGAUGACAAUGCCCUUCAACAGAAUCGGUGUCCAAGUGAAAGGCCACGUUGACGCUAUUUGGAACCCCAGCGGAGUCGAUUGAACAUCCUGAUCGACAAGUUUCAGCAAUGGAAAGAAAGAAGAACAAACGAUCUGUCCUGAGUGGGUUCGCGAUGCAGGCUACCAGAUUCAGGGACCACAUCCCCACUUGGCUGUUAAAGAAAUGAAUAAACUGUUAACAUAUCCUA